rnacentral:rRNA from 1 species
GGUGGGGAUGACGUCAAGUCAUCAUGGCCCUUACGAGUAGGGCUACACACGUGCUACAAUGGCGUAUACAAAGAGAAGCGACCUCGCGAGAGCAAGCGGAACUCAUAAAGUACGUCGUAGUCCGGAUUGGAGUCUGCAACUCGACUCCAUGAAGUCGGAAUCGCUAGUAAUCGUAGAUCAGAAUGCUACGGUGAAUACGUUCCCGGGCCUUGUACACACCGCC